GCGCGGCGGGCGGAGGGCGCACGGUCGGGAGGGGGCCCCGUGGGGCUGGGGUGGCGCGGCGGGCGCCACUCACCUGACCGGGAUGCGGCGGCGGCGGGCGACGGAACCGGGAGCUGCGGCCCUCCCCACCCCCUGGCUUCAAGUUUGCCAGGAGGACGCCUGGAAUGUGCGGAAUGAAGGCUGGGAACCAGGAAGCAGGAACUCUCAGCUCGACUCCCAGAUCCGCCACUGGUGCCCCCACGCUGGUCCUCUCCUUUCAGUUGUCUUCUGGUGUCCCUCAGGAUCCGCAAAGCUGUCAUUAGGAAGAAUAAAGCAUGUGGGAGAAAGCAGUCAGUGUGAGAUCCGUGCGGUAUGGCAAGAGACUCGUUCUGGGCUCAGUAGUAGUAAGUCGAUAAAGAUUUAUCCAGUAUGUACUAUGUGCCCACUAGUAAAAACAGGAAGGACAGGACCUCAGCCCCUACCCUCAAAGAGCUUAUAAUUUAGCUGGGAAGACUAAAGGUACAGAAAAGUGUGUUCAUUUAGUGGGUGUCUGGAUCUUAACCAUGCCAAAUUAAUUUAGGGGAAGAGGGAUAUAGGAAACACAUGGACUCCUGUGUGGAAAUCUUCAGAACAAAUUGACUUAAAGAUAGCUCUGUCAGCCACCUUGUGGCUUUGGGAGACUUGAAACCAGAGGACUUGGCUUUUUUUUUUCAAAAAUCAAAUCCAACCUCUAGAGUGAUAUCGUUGAACCUUGUAUUGAAGAUAUUGUCCAGAUCUCUUCUCCCUUGCCAAAUAGUAAAUUUAUGUCUGAUUUAUCUUGUUUUUCUUUUUUUUUUUAAACUAGGGAUUGAAUUGAUCAUAGGCUACCUACCUUUGUCAAUGCAGCUCCACAGAACUUAUCCUUCAAGAGAUGAAGGAUAAGGAGGCACUUUACCAUUGACCUAUAUUGCCAAACCUUUUUCCUUUGUAUUUUGAGACAAAGUCUCAUGAAGUUACUUAGGGACUUGCUAACUUGAUGAGGCUUGCCUGAAACUUGCAUCCUCCCACCUCAGCCUCCUGAGUCUCCGGAAUUACAGGCAUGUGCCACCACACUGGGCCUGAUUUAUCUUAUUUUUGACCCAGCACCAACAUGGUGCCUAGGUUAGAAAAGUGCAUAAUACAUACAUAUAUUGGUACCAGGGAUUGAACCCAAGGGCGCUUAACCACUGAGCCACGUCACACCACUAGCCCUUUUUAUUUUUUUAUUUUAAAACAGGGUUUCUCUAGAUUGCUUACAGCUUCACCAAGUUGCUGAGGCUGGCUUUGAACCUGCCAUCCUCCUGCCUCAGCUUUCUGAGCCAUGCUAUUACAGAUUUGCACCACCACACCCAGCUGAAAAGUACAUAAUAAAUGUUGAAUGAAAAAAAAAAAAUUGCUACCAUGGAAGAUACUGAAAAGAUGUACUAUUAAAUGUCAGAGUUGUAUCCAAGAGGUGUUCCAAAAGUCCAGACAAUGCAGCUAGACUGUCUCCAAUCUUCCAAGGCAAAGAAGAGUGAGGAAGCAGCUGUCAUUUGGAUAUAUAAAUGCUUGUUAAAUAAUGAGUCAUAUCAAGGCUUGGUCACACCUCAUACACCUGAAAAGACCACAACACAAGGCAAUAUAUCAGCCCCACGUGGAGUACAAACUGUAAGGACUACUUAAUUCAAUAAUACUGUGUUGAGUGACUAUUGACUUUGACACCAAGCUAAGUGCAGGAAUAAGUCCCUGCCCUCAACAAGUUCAGAGUCUAGGUGAGAAGAUAAUGAUUAUGCAAAAUUCAAUGGUAACUCAAGGAAAGGAACAAUGAAAUCCAAGUUACAGGGUGGCAUUUGCUUCAUCUCUUGAAGGAUAAAGCCAAAUUGAGACUGGUGUGGAGCAGCAUGGACAAAUGUCGGCACGUGCAGGCUGUUUAGCAAAGGUGUGUGAGCAGGAGAAUGAGAUGUGAAGACUGCAGUUAAAAAGGGGGAGCUGGGGGCCGGGGUUGUGGCUCAGUGGUAGAGCACUCGCCUAGCAUGUGUGAGGCCCUGGGUUCAAUCCUCAGCACCACAUGAAAAUAAAUAAAUAAAAUAAAGGUAUUGUGUCCAACCACAACUAAAAAAAUAUUAAAAAAAAAAAAGUGGGAGCCAGGUUGGGAAGAUAGUUGUAUGGAGUUUUGGCCAUCAUAAAAGCCAUAAAGUGCCAGGCACAGUGGCACUUGCCUGUAAUCCCAGCAGCUCCCAAGGCUGAGGCAGAAGGAUCAAGGUUCAAGGCCAGCCUGGGCAAUUUAGUGAGACCCUAUCUGAAAAUAAAUAAAUAAAUAAAUAAAAAGGGCUAGAGAUAUAGCUUGUGGUAGAGCGCCCCUAGAUUCAAUCCCCAGUAUCCUAACAAUAGCAAAGCCACUUGGACACAGUUGUGACAUAUUCAGCGCAACUAUCAAGAGACUCUGGCAAUAGUCUUGCGGGUGAUUCAGAGACUUAGGGUGUCCUAAGCUCAAGGAGUGGUCCUGAAGAUGGCAAGUCUGAGUCCAGCCUCAGCAACUUAAUUAAGGAUCUGGAAGCAGACCAGAGGCAAAAUCAGCUGAAACUGUUGCUUAGAGUUUGUCUGUGAAGGUGAGAGAGAAAAUAAAAAUGGGCUAAACCUUAACAAGGGAGCAAUGGAUGGUGUCAUUACUGAGAUAAGAAUUCAAACAGCAAGGGAUUCAGGUGAGGUGGAAGGUGAGUCCUAGCCAGAUUGAGAGGAAGGUAGGACAGGGCAGAGUAGAAACAGGAGAGCCACCCUUGGGAGUCACAUUCAGCACAGACUGUUCAGAGGGAACUUGAAGUUCAAUCUGUUUUCUUUCUUUCCCCCAAAUUUUAACUAUCCAAAACCAAGACUGUCAGUGGCCAAAGCUGGAAAGCUAGGUCUUUUAGGAUUUUGGCUUCCUAGCCUCACCUUCCCUCAUAGACUUACCUCCUAAUAGAGAGUCUUUGGGAAUUUCACACCUGAAGCAGUUGAGGAUCCUCUGAGUAAAGAAAGAAAACGGAUCAGAUACGCCUAUUCUGAAGGGUUAAAGACUGACAGUGAUUUUAGACACAGAACCUGUCCUUCCCAGGGUAGUCCCACUUUUUAAGGGAUCACCCCCUCACUCACUGAUCCCUAGGAAUCAAUCUAUUGAUGGAAAUAUUUCAUCAGUUUGCAUCAAGCUGGAAGAGACACAAAAAUGCAUCAUGUAAUCCACAACUCUCCUCACUUCCUGGUGAUCCAGACCACUCUAAUUCUACAAAUGGAUCUUCAAUCAAGCUUGCUGAUGGGUGGUGCAGGUGGAGAGCAGCAGGGGUGUGGUGAGAGCUGGUUUUGAUGUGGGGAGGGUAUUUGUGUCGGUUAUAGGCUGAAGUCAAAGUUAAAAAUCAUAUUAAUCACUGUUA